GUAGGCCCAAAAUUUAAAUGAUAAGAUUAGAGAUUAAAUGUAACAUGACUUUCUAGGAAUAUGUCCAUUUUUAAAAAAAAAAUCACACAUGAAUCAAAGUUGUGACUUCUGUUUUAAUAUAUAAGAUAUAUUACUCCAAACUAUAUACUCUAAAUUUUAACACUACUUAUCUUAACCCUAAAUAAUAUUUUAAACUACACAUAAAACUUAAUCUUAAUACCCUAAAACGAAAACUCAAACCCUGCAUACACGACCAUACAUUCAUCUUUUUUAUUUAAUUGGUUAUAUUUUUAAAAUAUUUAAACACUGAAUUUUAAAUAUAAUGUAAAAACUAAAUUAUUUCAUUGGUUUCUCUUAAAAAUAUUCCCACCAACACUCACCAAAUUCCCUUUCUCCUUCCCGCCGCACAUCUUGACCAAAACUAAGACACUAAAUAAAAAUAUUUAAGCUAAAACUAAAACAUUUAUAUGUGUCCUUAUUGGUCAACCAUUGAUGCAAUUGCAUCCAAUGGUUACAGUUUUUUUCAGUAUCUUUUUGUUUUUCUGUUUUAAUUCUCUUUCUCAUCUCUUUCGUUUUCUCUUCUCUCUUCCUUCAAUGGCAGAUCUCCAUCUUCUCUUCUUGUAUCAUACUCUUUGUUUUUCUCUUUUCCUUAUUUGUUUUUCCCGAAAAUCUCAUCUCUUCUCUUUCUCUUUGAUCUGUUCAAUCUUCUCUUGGAUCUAUGAACCGCCUCCGAUCAAAUACAUACCAAGAUCUAUCGCGGCUUAAGUUUGCAUUACCAGGUUAAAGUGUCAGAGGUGAAUCACGGUAUGGCUCCACCAAGUCACCUCCUAGAUUCUGAGAUACCCCAAAAGCCUAAAUCAGAAACAUGUCUUUAUAUCUCCUACGCAUCAUCCUCUCAUCUCUAUUGGUUGUUGUAUGAAGCUUAUUGAUUCCACAUUGAUUAAAAGGAUAUUGAAAUAGGGUGAAUAUACAUUGAAACAGGCUUGAGAGACGAUGGAGAAACUCCGUUAUCAAGCAGACGAGGCGACAGAGAAACUAUGAUGUCUGUAGCAGACGGCACGAUAGAAGUCAACUUCGGUGACUAGGUGAUGCGACGACAACACUCUGAAGGCGGAUGCUCUGGAGGCUGGAGGUAGAGACGGAGGAUUAGGGUUGCAGGCGGAGGCUUAGUUUAGGUUUAGGUUAAUUAUGUUUUGGCUAAUUAUGUUUUGUUUAAAUGUUUUAAUCUGUUUUUUUUGUCUAAUGUGUUCUUUAAUUAUUUGUAUACUGAUUUUAAUUAAUAGAUAAAAUUAAUUUUAA